CUCCAAAUGAAUUGGAAAAACUGAAUUAUUUCCCCCAACGAAACAAGCAAAUAAAAAUAUGUAAAAGGAAUUUAUCUUACAGAUGACAAUUCCUUCAAAUAGGAUAAUAAAACACUUCAUUUUAUGUCACCUUUUAGCUCUAAAACUAUACAUUGAACUUUAAAUAUAUAUCGUACGAUAUCGACAUUAACAUACACUUAAAUAAUUCCAACAUUUAAUAAGUAUAGUUAUACUAUUGAACAAGAAAAAUGAACUUAAAACUGAAACAAACUGGAGGAUGCCCAACACUGCGCGUCAGAAAAUCAGAAUUACUUAAUGAAAAAACCUAAUGGGGAGUUCUAAAAGGGAGUUCACACAAGAAUGAAGUCGUUUUAUGGCUCGACAUCAUACGUUCACGAAUUGUGCAGUUUACAGUCAUUUUCGUGAAUGGAUCCAAGUACAAGUUAUAGCGAGUUAAAAAAACUCUACAAAACAUUCGAAAGUUUUAAGUGAAUUUGAAAUAGCGCCCAAGUGCAUAUACAAUAUACAUGUGUUUAUAUAUUACCUUUCCGUGGAUUUCAUUACAAAUACAAAACUGCCAUUGUGGAACAACUUUAACACCACAGAUUAUCAGAGAUUAUGAAACUGCAGUAAUAAUAAUUAGGCCAAUAAACAUUCAUGAUCAACUACUAAAAUUGCAGGACUAAUACUCUAGCUUCUGCACAAAAUAUUAGUAUGGGAAAAUGCUUUGGGACACUUUAACGACGUAUACAAACAGAUCGACAUUAUCUUUGUGGUGUCAUGUUGAAAAUCUGAUCAAUGCGGCAAUGGAUGAUCAGUGGCAGUUAAAAUUAUUCUCAUAUUAAAUUCAACAAAACAAUUUCGUCAUAUAAUUGCUAAAGUAAAACAACAUUUAUAUGGCAUCAUGGAGAUAGCUGUUUCGUUGAAUAACAAGGUUUGCUGUCACGACGGAGAACUUUGUCGGAACUGAUAUAUAUAUACAUGUAUGGAGAGAAUUCAGUACGUACUCGUUAUUUUCAACGCCACAUAUACUCGAGAAUUAUAUUCGCGUUCGUUCUUCUUCGUUGAAAAGAUUAAUCGACAUAUAGUUGUAUCUAUUUACAGUUUACAGACACGAUUCAAUUACAUGUAGACGUGGGUGUUGAUGUUACUGAUCAAUUUCGUCUGCGAUCGAGAACUUGAGUAUAGUACCGAUAUAGCAAAUCUGAGAAUAUUUCAAUAUUAAACUGGAUACUGGCGCUUAUUGUUAUAUGGAAAAGGGAUAUAUUGGUUCAAUUUUAUGAUACUGUGCUAACAUAGAUUAUGUUGUCAAAACGUCCAUUGGUUUGCUCCAGGAUUUCAUAACGCCGAUACGUCGUUCUCAGAUUAUUUUCAUCACUUAAAAACCGGUAAACAUGCUAUUUUCUGCUGACUAAUUUCUGAUUUUUGAGCUAAAAUUGGAAUUGAAGAUAUUGUUACGUGGUCUCGAAUGAAUUGGAAAGUUAAGAAACGUUCAACAGAGAAUUAGCAGUGUUGUGAAACAUUUGAAAUCACUAGUUAUUCUGUGCCUUGCUGUUCCUGACAAAAACUGAAUGACAAAUUUGCAUCCUCGAGUAAAUGAACAAGUACUGCACGUAUCGCAUGCUUGUAUUAGUAACUGUAUUAAAUGAAAUACUGUAAUUUGUCCGUUAAUUGGAA